ensembl:lncRNA
AACUGCUGAACCAACAACUACAAUUGCUGGAACAAGAGCUACAACUGCAGGAACACCAACCACUGCAGGACCAAAAACGACAACUGUUGAACAAACAACAACUGUGGAACCUACCACUGUUACUCCAAAAAUACUAACUAUUGCUGCUGGACCCACAACAACAACUGCAGGACCAACAACGCCAACUGUAGAACCAACAACAACUGCUGGAACAAGAGCUAAAACUACAGGACUCGCAACAAAAACGGCAGGACCAACAACGACAACUUCUGAACCAACAACAAUUGCAGGACCUACCACUGCUAUUGCAAGACUAUUAUCCACUAAAGUAGGAACAACAACAACUGCAGGACUAACAAAGCCAACUGUUGAACAACCAACAACAUAUGCAGUCCCAAAACCAACAACUGCAGGUCCAUCAACUACUACAGCAAGAUCCACAACAACAACAACUGCAGGACGAAAAACGACAACUGCUGAACCAACAACAGCAGCAGAAAAACCAACAUCUAUGACAACAGAAGAGACAACUGCAGGAACAACAAUAAUCACUAAAAGAUCCACAACUGCACGGCCAACCACGACCACUUCUGAACCAACAACAAUUGCAGGACCUACCACUGCUAUUGCAAGACUAUUAUCCACUACAGUAGGAACAACAACAACUGCAGGACUAACAAAGCCAACUGUUGAACAACCAAGAACAACUGCAGGACGAAAAACAACAACUGCUGAACCAACAACAGCAGCAGAAAAACCAACAUCUACGACAACAGAAGAGACAACUGCAGGGACAACAAUAAUAACUAAAAGAUCCACAACUGCACGGCCAACAACAACAUCUGCAGGAUCAAUAACUACUGCAGGACCAAAAACGACAACUGCUCAACAAAAAACAAAAGCUACAGGACCCACAACAACAACCUCUGAACUACCAACAACAACAACGGCAACUGCUGAACUAACAACUACAAUUGCUGGAACAAGAGCUACAACGGCAGGAACAUCAACCACUGCAGGACCAAAAUCGACAACUGUUGAACGAAAAACAAUUGUGGAACCUACCACUGUUACUGCAAGCCUACUAACUACUUCUGCUGGACCCACAACAACAACGGCAGGACCAACUACGCCAUCUGAAGAACCAACAACAACAACUGCUGGAACCAGAGCUAAAACUACAGGACUCACAACAAAAACUGCAGGACAAACAACGACAACUUUUAAACCAACAACAAUUGCAGGACCUACCACUGCUACUGCAAGACUAUUAUCCACUACAGUAGGAGCAACAACAACUGCAGGACUAACAAAGCCAACUGUUGAACAUCCAACAACAACUGCAGUGCCAAAACCAACAACUGCAGGUCCAUCAACUACUACAGCAAGAUCCACAACAACAACAACUGCAGGACGAAAAACAACAACUGCUGAACCAACAACAGCAGCAGAAAAACCAACAUCUAUGACAACAGAAGAGACAACUGCAGGAACAACAAUAAUCACUAAAAGAUCCACAACUGCACGGCCAACCACGACCACUUCUGAACCAACAACAAUUGCAGGACCUACCACUGCUAUUGCAAGACUAUUAUCCACUAAAGUAGGAACAACAACAACUGCAGGACUAACAAAGCCAACUGUUGAACAACCAACAACAUAUGCAGUCCCAAAACCAACAACUGCAGGUCCAUCAACUACUACAGCAAGAUCCACAACAACAACAACUGCAGGACGAAAAACGACAACUGCUGAACCAACAUCGACAACUGCAGGAUCAACAACUUUUGCAGAAAAACCUGCAGCCACAACUGCAGGACCAACAACAACUGCAAGACCUAUCACUUCUACUGUUGUACCCAAAACAAUAACUGAAGGAAAAACAACAACAGCCUCAGAACCAACAACUUCUAAAUCAGGACCCACAACAACAACAACUGGUGGACCAACAAAAACCACUGCAGGACCAACAACUACGGCUGCGGAAACUGCAAGAACAACGGCAAGACCAACAACUACAACUGCUGAACUAACAUCGACAACUGCAGGAUCAACAGCUUUUGCAGAAAAACCUGCAACAACUGUAGGACCAACAAAAACUGGAAGAUCUGUCACUUCUACUGUUGUACCCAAAACAAUAACUGAAGGAAAAACAACAACAGAAGAGACAACUGCAGGAACAACAAUAACAACUAAAAGAUCCACAACUCCACGGCCAACAACAACAUCUGUGGGAUCAAAAACGACUGCAGGACCAAAAACGAGAACUGCUCAACGAGAAACAAAAGCUACAGGACCCACAGCAACAACCUCUGAACUACCAAAAACAACGCCAACUGCUGAACCAACAACUACAAUUGCUGGAACAAGAGCUACAACUGCAGGAACAUCAACCACUGCAGGACCAACAACAACUGCUGGAACAAGAGCUAAAACUACGGGACUGACAACAAAAACUGAUGGACCAACAACGACAACUUCUGAACCAACAACAAUUGCAGGACCUACCACUGCUAUUGCAAGACUAUUAUCCACUACAGUAGGAACAACAACAACAACAAUUGCAGGACUAACAAAGCCAACUGUUGAACAACCAACAACAUCUGCAGGACCAACAACUGCAGGGCAAAAGACUGCAGGGCCAUCAACUACUACAGCAACAUCCACAACAACAACUGCAGGACGAAAAAAGACAACUGCUGAACAAACAACAGCAGCAGAAAAACCAACAUCUAUGACAACAGAAGAGACAACUGCAGGAACAACAAUAAUCACUAAAAGAUCCACAACUGCACGGCCAACCACGACCACUUCUGAACCAACAACAACUGCAAGACCUAUCACUUCUACUGUUGUACCCAAAACAAUAACUGAAGGAAAAACAACAACAGCCUCAGAACCAACAACUUCUACAUCACGACCCACAACAACAAAAACCGGACCAAUAACGACAACUGCUUUACCAAAACAAACUGCAGGACCAUCAACAACAACAAUAAGAAAUACCGCAGGAUCAACAACAACAACUGCAGGACCAACAACAGUCAAUGCAGAACCCACAACGCCAACUGCUGAACCAACAACUACUGCUGGUCAAAUAGCUACAACUGCAGGACAAAUAAUAACUGUAGGACCAACAACGGCAAUUGCUGAACCAACAACGCCAACUGCUGUAAAAACAACACCAACUGUAGGACCAACGACUGCAGUGCCAAAAACAGCGACUACAGGACUGACAACGAGAACUGCUGAACCAACAACAAUUGCUGGACCAAGAGCUUCAACUACAGGCCCAAUAUCGACAACUACUUUACCAACAACAACUGCAGGACCAACAACGCCAAAUGCUGAAAAAACAACACCAACUGUAGAACCAACGACUACAGUGCCAAAAACAACGACUGCAGGACUGACAACGAGAACUGCUGAACCAUCAACAAUUGCUGGACCAAGAGCUUCAACUGCAGGCCCAAUAUCGACAACUGCUUUACCAACAACAACUGCAAGACAAACAACAACAACAUUAACUACUACCACGGGAUCCACAACAACACCAACUUUAGGAGCAAUAACGACAACUGCUUUACCAAAACCAACUGAUGGACCAGCAACAACAACAACAUUAAAUACUACCGCGGGUUCAACAACAACAACUGUAGGACCAACAACAACCAAUGCAGAACCCACAACGCCAAAUCCUGAACCGACAACAAUUCAUGGAUCUGGAGCUACAACUGCAGGAACCACAACAGCACCUGCAGGAUCAUCGACAACUGCAGUGUCAACAACGACAACUGUAGAUCCCCCUACAGAAAAUAAAGGGAC